rnacentral:rRNA from 1 species
UACGUAGGGUGCGAGCGUUGUCCGGAAUUACUGGGCGUAAAGAGUUCGUAGGCGGUUUGUCGCGUCGUUCGUGAAAACUUGGGGCUUAACUCCAGGCGUGCGGGCGAUACGGGCAGACUUGAGUACUACAGGGGAGACUGGAAUUCCUGGUGUAGCGGUGAAAUGCGCAGAUAUCAGGAGGAACACCGGUGGCGAAGGCGGGUCUCUGGGUAGUAACUGACGCUGAGGAACGAAAGCGUGGGUAGCGAACAGG